ACGAACGCUGGCGGCAUGCCUAACACAUGCAAGUCGAACGAGACCUUCGGGUCUAGUGGCGCACGGGUGCGUCACGCGUGGGAACCUGCCCUUAGGUUCGGACUAACUCCCCGAAAGGGGUGCUAAUACCGGAUAAUGUCUUCGGACCAAAGAUUUAUCGCCUUUGGAUGGGCCCGCGUUGGAUUAGUUAGUUGGUAGGGUAAAAGCCUACCAAGGCGACGAUCCAUAGCUGGUCUGAGAGGAUGAUCAGCCACACUGGGACUGAGACACGGCCCAGACUCCUACGGGAGGCAGCAGUGGGGAAUAUUGGACAAUGGGCGAAAGCCUGAUCCAGCAAUGCCGCGUGAGUGAUGAAGGCCUUAGGGUUGUAAAGCUCUUUUACCCGGGAUGAUAAUGACAGUACCGGGAGAAUAAGCUCCGGCUAACUCCGUG
rnacentral:rRNA from 1 species